UUGAAAUAAACUUGGUGUUGGUUGUAGCUGGCCUUUUUGGGCAUGUGCUCGCCUUCAUCAUCUUUAUAUUUCCACCUGUGCACCUUUUGUAGACAAGAAAGAAAAAGGAAUUUAUUCCUUGUGUAUUCCUUGUCUAUGUUUUUAUAUAUACUCCAAAAAUGUAACAGAAUGUUAAUCUAUGGGCUUUUGUGCCUAUAAACAAAAAAUUAUA
rnacentral:misc_RNA from 1 species